AUUGAACGCUGGCGGCAGGCCUAACACAUGCAAGUCGAGCGGAUGACGGGAGCUUGCUCCUUGAUUCAGCGGCGGACGGGUGAGUAAUGCCUAGGAAUCUGCCUGGUAGUGGGGGACAACGUUUCGAAAGGAACGCUAAUACCGCAUACGUCCUACGGGAGAAAGCAGGGGACCUUCGGGCCUUGCGCUAUCAGAUGAGCCAAGGUCGGAUUAGCUAGUAGGUGAGGUAAUGGCUCACCUAGGCGACGAUCCGUAACUGGUCUGAGAGGAUGAUCAGUCACACUGGAACUGAGACACGGUCCAGACUCCUACGGGAGGCAGCAGUGGGGAAUAUUGGACAAUGGGCGAAAGCCUGAUCCAGCCAUGCCGCGUGUGUGAAGAAGGUCUUCGGAUUGUAAAGCACUUUAAGUUGGGAGGAAGGGUUGUACGUUAAUACCGUGCAAUUUUGACGUUACCGACAGAAUAAGCACCGGCUAACUCUGUGCCAGCCGCCGCGGUAA
rnacentral:rRNA from 1 species